CAGUAGCCGCGGGAAUACGUAGGGCGCAAGCGUUAUCCGGAAUUAUUGGGCGUAAAGAGCUCGUAGGCGGUUUGUCGCGUCUGCCGUGAAAGUCCGGGGCUCAACCCCGGAUCUGCGGUGGGUACGGGCAGACUAGAGUGAUGUAGGGGAGACUGGAAUUCCUGGUGUAGCGGUGAAAUGCGCAGAUAUCAGGAGGAACACCGAUGGCGAAGGCAGGUCUCUGGGCAUUAACUGACGCUGAGGAGCGAAAGCAUGGGGAGCGAACAGGAUUAGAUACCCGUGUAGUCCCUGUCUCUUAUAC
rnacentral:rRNA from 1 species